rnacentral:lncRNA from 1 species
CCUCUCCUUCCACUCUCUCCUCUGCUUCCCGGGAGAGGGUCAGGCUCCCCGCGGUUCUCAGCUCUUGGUCAAGCCUGACCACUCCCUCACUGGUUCUGAGCUGAGAGCUUCUAAUGGGAAAUGGGGAGCAGUGUUUUUGAGGAUCUCCUGGAACUGGGCUUGGUCCACAUGUCCUACUGCCAUCUGUCCCCGCUGGCGACCUAAUGCUGGGCUCACAAAUCUGCGACCUUCAGGUCCUUGGAAAGAGAGAGAGCCGCGGGAAUUCUUUAUUCUUAUAUGGAACAUUCUAUCCCCAAAAGGGCAAAGGGUAGGGUUACGAAGGAACAGGUGAGUGUGGCUCACCCCCUCUGGGUGCCUCCUGCUCCUAGGGCCACACCUUGUUAUCCAAGUGAGGAAAAAGCCCAAGUCACAAGUCAUGACACUACUGUACCAGACUACGGUGAUCUUUCAGAUCCCCUGGUGCAUCAGGACUUAAGGGUGUCUGCAUUUGGAGUGGCUCCCCACAGUGUCCCUCCUCAGCUGCCAUGUCUGUGGUGGCCUGAGAGUGCUCUUCCUCUCACCCCGGGCAAGGGUCUGCCAAGAGUGCCCUCUCCCUUUGCUCUCACUCUGGGCAGCCAGUUGGCAGAUUCCAGGGCUCUCG